AUAGCGACACAAGGCAGUGGGCAGUCCCUGGUGUCAGUCUGAAGAGAGGUAAUACAUCGGUGCAACUGUGCAUUUGGUUUUUCGAUUUAAGCGCGAAAAAAGCAAGAUAAGUGUUAAAUUGACCACCUUAAAAGUAUACAAUACAAUUUAAAGUAAUAAUAUUCACUACAAAGUAUAAAGGAAUACGAAAACCGGCAAGUAUAACACAUAACAGGUGCAGGAAAUGAUGUAUUUUCAGUGAUCUCAGCUCUAGUGACGCCAUAUUAAGUUGUGUGACUCGAGUGGCGUCAUACGCCGAUCCUCGUAAAAGACGCCACUCUUCGCUCCUGCUUUCGGAUAAGAUGACUAGUUAAAGUGUUUACUUGAAUUUUUCAUUUAUGUACAGAAAGUGCCUGAAAACUACACCAGGACUUCUAACAGAGGUUAGUGGAGUCAGGAUAGUCUACAACUUGCCAUGGAACACGUACGGACGGGAGGCAUGAAUUGUUUUAAAACCUCACAAUCCCAUACAGAACUUUGAAAAGACAACUACAGUAUAAUGAUGCCAAAAAACAUGACAUAGACCCUCAAAGUUGCCUCAGAAAAUAAAAUAAGGAGUAUUUGGUGACCUACAUAAAGAAACUACAGGCAUCAGGAUUUCCGCCAAUGGAGAAACUUUACUAAGCUCGCCUAUCAGUUUGCAAAAGGAAAUCGAAUUCUUCACCGCUUCAACAGAGACAGAGUUAUGGCAGGAUGAUAUUGUCUAGACCAAGGGUUCUUAACCCUUUUUCGCUGGCGCACCAGUAAUUCUAAUUUGACAUAUUAAAUGUAGCACUAAUCAAAUGCGUUCAGGGAAAACUUAUUUAUGUUAAUAUUAUCUUUUAAUUUGUUUUACUUAGUUCGUGUACCACCCGACAUUGGCCUGCGUUCCACCAGUGAUACGCGUACCAUAGGUCUAGACUAAUUUCUGAGACAAUCCUGGAUUAGUUAAGAAAUAAUCUACAAUGUCUCUCUUUUGAAGAGCUAAAGCCAUGAAUAGGAAGAAUAUUGAUGUCUACUUCAAAUUAUAAUUGGAUUUGUUGCCAGAAAACUCUCUGCUAGACAAACCUGGCCAUAUGCACAAUGUGGAUGACUCUGGUUUUUCAAGUUAAUCCUAGGCCUGACACUGAUAUCUCAGAAGAGCUCUCCGACAGUGUACCAAAUGACUUCUGGUGAAAAGCGGGAGACAGUGCUGCAAUGCCAUAGGCUGUUUUAUAUCUCCAGCCUGCAUACUUAAAGAGAAAAACAAAAAGUCAGAAUGGGAAGAUUCUCUUCCCAAAGGGUCAAAAGGUUUUCAUGAAUGCAAGGUCUGGUUUUGCAAACUCUACCAUAUUAAUGCAGUGGCUGAAUAGAGCAUUUUAUUUCAAGAAAACAAACAGGGAAAGUAGUGCUAAUUCUAGAUGUUCAUACAUCGCACUGCAAUGACCAGGAUAUGUUGGAACUAGCUCAGAAAAACGACAUAAUCGUGGUUUGUUUUCCUCCCCAUUCCACCCACAACUUUCUUCCAUUUUAUCGGUGUUUCUUGAAACCCCCGAAACACUUUUCUUCAUAGCAGUGCACGUUUGGUGACAAAUACACGCAGAUCGCGACAUGUUAUGAUCGCAGUUUGCACCAUUGCUGAAGGAGGCUUGGCAGAAAUCGGUAACCAAAUCUAAUACCUAUUCUGGAUUUGAAACCUGUGUUCGUUGUGAUUUCUGCAAUAGCACGCGUAUUCCCUGUGCUCAACACACACGGCCAAUCACACCGAAACUUAGCUAUGACACCAAAUUACAAAAAUUUGUUCGGCGCAUGUAUACGUCAACAGUGAAUGAAAACUCAAAUCACAGUGGAGAAGCAUCUUAGCUGCUGUCAUUACAGACUAGUUUUAUAUUGUUCUUUUAAACUCUAAACUGGAUGUGUAACCCGUGCGUAUAGACAACCAAUUAAAGCGUGUGAUGAAGUAACUAAAACUCA